rnacentral:lncRNA from 1 species
UUUUUUUUUUUUCUUCUUUUUAGGGAUGCGCCUGCAGCAUAUGGAAGUUCCCAGGCUAGAAGUCUAAUCGGAGCUACAGCUGCCGGCCUACAUCACAGCACAGCAACGUGCGAUCUGAGCUGUGUCUGCGAGAUCUGAGCCACAUAUCCUCAACCCACUGAGUGGGGCCAGGGAUCCGACCCUAAUCCUCAUGGUUACUUGUUGGGUUCGUUACCGCUGAGCCACAGUGGGAACUCCCGGGCUCUUUUAGGCCAGGAAAUACUUAGCCAAAGCUCUGUACCAGGCACCAAGGAGAUCCCAAAGAUGAACAAAACACAGGUUAGGAAUCAGUUAAGACAUGAUUCUCCUGAUUGGGAAGGUGGGCAUGGUCCUUCCUGGAAGGAGUGGGGCAGAUAAGAUGCCCCCUCUGGCGGCUGCCCCUGAGGGUGCUUCCACAGUGGGGUGUCUCCUGCCUCCCCGCCACCUACGUUGCCUCUUGGACCCUCUACCGACUGGGUCCAGGGCCUCCCUCAUCACCAGUCACACAACUUCUAAGAUCACAGACAGGAAUGGGUAUAGAGAAGGGAGUUUCAGCUGGGAGAUAGUCCUUCUCUCAGGCAGGGAGCCCCACCAGUCCCAGGCCCCAAGGAGCUGGUCCCAUUAGCUUGGCCCCUGUCUGGUUUCUCAGAUUCUGGUGGCAGAUCUGAUGACAGCUCGGUAGCUCACUGGCCUCUACCCCCAAAGCCUUAUCUCUUGGCCCCGGCCAUCCUGGACCUUUAAACAUUAAAAAAAAUUUUUAUCUUUGCUUAGGGAUUUAUUCUCUUAAGCCUCUAUCAGUAGGUGGAAUGAACAACCCCUUUCACCUUGACACCUUGGGUAACCAAGCCAUUAUCAUCCUUCUAUGCCUGCUCAGCCUGGAGGACCCAAACAUCCAUGCCUUAUUUCCAGAGGCACUCCACACUUGAUGGGGGUAGCUUUGAGGCCUCACUCAUCCCCUGGCCAAUAGCAAGGGGUCUCCAUACCCUUCUUAGCAACUUCCUGCAGGAUGCACACUAGGAAGGUGCCCAGUUCCCGCAGCUGCCCACCUAAGCCACAGCCACAGCAACACGGCGUCUGAGCCGAGUCUGCAAUCUACACCACAGCUCAUGGCAACACUGGAUCCUUAACCCACUGAGAGAGGUAAGGGAUUGAACCCGCAACCUCAUGGUUCCUAGUGGGGUUCAUUGACCGCUGAGCCACAACGAGACCUCUGAUUUUAUAGAUUUUAUAUAGAGCCUUGUACUUUCUCUUGCCCCCAUGAGAGGGAAGCAAUUUCGGGGAAGACCUAAGGAGUUAACUGAACUCCAGUGCCCUCUCUCCCCAGAGCGGCGGUCCCAAAUGGCUCCAUGCUUUCUCUCUUAUCCUGGGCUUUAAGUGGGUGCCUGGAGCCCCCGAGACUGGGGGAAACAGAAGGGCUGGGGGCCAAAGGGCAUGCUGGAGGAACUGGGUCCUGUGCGGCAUCCCUCAUUGAACACUUUUUCUACCUCUUGGCAGGUUGAACAGGUUUUGGAGGGAGACUUAUCUUGGGAAUUGCAGGGAAGUAGGAUGAAGGAGGUGGGUUGGAAGCCUCUUCCAAUACCAGGACUGUAGCCUACCCCGUGCAUCAUUAUCACCCUGGAGGAAGGAGGAAUAAGGCUUGAGCAUCGUCAAGCCACUGGAGUGGGCUGAGUAAAGGUCCUCGAGACUUGGAAACACCAAGCAAGUUAUUUUACCUCUCCGAGAGCCUUCGUUUCUCUAAUUCUGUAGACGUUUUUCUUUCACCUGCAAAGUAGGCUAAUAAUAGUCUUACAUGGGCAUAAGGGCCCUGCGGAUCUCACGUACUAUAUGUCACAUAAUCCCAACCACACAAUGGAAGGUGUUAUUGCCUCCUUAGGUGAGGAAAUGGAGCCCUAGAGAGAUGAAGAGACUGACUGAAGUUCCCAGAGUGGGUACGUGGCGCAGACCAGGAUGGCAAAUAGUGGGAAAGAAGAAUAGAUGGGGACCUGUUGCUGUGACCCAGUCCUGUCUGGGUAACAAAUAGGUUUCAUUUGUAAGGCUAACCACAUUGGGUUGGAAAUGGCUCUCCAUAAAACCAUGUUGAGAAAGCUUCUGAGGCUCAGUGAGAAAAAAAGUACUGUGAUGAAUUAGUGAUAUCUGUUCUGGGUGGGGGGCGGGGUAAGUGACGGCCCGAGUAUAGUAUGGUUGGUGACUCUAGCCCAGGAUCAGACCAGGGAUUUCACAUCUAAGUUGUUCCUCUAUACUAAACAGUUGGUUAAUUUCAAUGGCCACCAGCUUAAAAAGGUAACUAAGAUAUAGUCUCUGCCUUCCAAGAGCUCACAAUCUCUUGAGGACAGAGGAGUGCUCUAUGGAUGAUGCGGCAAAAUGUCCCAGGAACGCAGAGGGAGAGCAAAUAUCCCAGAGGGCAUUCCAGGCAGAGGGACCUGCUUGGGCAAAAGCAUGGGGACAUAUGCAAGUGGAGUGCAGGGCACAUCUGAAGAGCCAACGGCAGUUCUAUAUGGCUGGAAGCUAGGGUACCUGGGGAAAAGUACCAAAAGGAGAGGCUAUGAAAAUCAGCAUGCAUCAGAUGGUGAAGAGUUCUGAAUGCUAGGCCUGGAAGUUUGGGUUUUAUUACAGAAGCUGUGGUACCCACUGAAGGAUUGAAAGGCAGAGUGAUGAGAUAUAAUUGUGUCGUUGAAAGGCACUGUGGCAGCUGAGGGGUUGGAGGGGGGGAACCGGGAGAUCAUUGCAGCAUUUCAGGUGGAAGAGAACUAGGGCAGCCUCAAAGGAGAUGGAGAGAAGCUCACAGAAGUAGAAUUGAUAAGACCCCAGUGACCUGCUGGAUGAGGGGCAGGAAAGAAACCCAGGGCAAUGUUAAGGUUUCCAGUUUGGGUGCUGAAUGGAUGGUGAUUUUGUGAACAGGCAGGGAAGCACAGAAGAGACACCCUUUUGAGGAGAGAGAAGGGGUCUUUUUUUAGGGCCUCACCAAUGGCAUAUGGAGGUUCCCAGGCUAAGGGUCUAAUCGGAGCUAUAUCCUCCAGCCUAUGUCACAGCCACAGCAAUGCCAAAUUCAAGCCACAUCUGCAACCUACACCACAGCUCACAGCAACGCCAGAUCCUUAACCCACUGAGCGAGGCCAGGGAUUGAACCUGCAACCUCAUGGUGCCUAGUUGGAUUCGUUUCUGCUUCACCACGACGGGAACUCCAGAACGGGGUCUUAACGUGUUAAAACUGGAACCUCCAGUUAGAGGGAGCCUGUCAGCGUUGGACACACAGGGCAGAGGUGAGGGGGGCUCAUGGGAGUGGCUGAGACAGCCGAGGAAGGGAGAGUGGAAUGGUUAGAGAUGAAGGCCAAGGCGGGACCCCUAAGAAACAGCAAUAAUUCAGGCCCGGUGAGAGACCACAGCAAGAGAGAUGGACCCAAAGUAAAGGGGCAGGAGGAGAGAGCCUGGGGGACCCAGUCAGAAAGUGACCGGGAGAGUCCACAGUGCUGACCCAGAAGUGCUCUUAAGUGUGUGUGGUCAUCUAAUUCUCCCCACGCUCUGGUGUGGUAGGUAGUAGGAUGAGGUUUUUUUGUUGUUGUUUUUUUUUGUUUUGUUUGUUUUUAAGGGCUGCACCUGCGGCAUAUGGAAGCUCCCAGGAUAGGGGUUGAAUUGGAGCUACAGCUACCAGCCUACACCACAGCCACAGCAACACCAGUUUCGAGCCAUGACAGAUCUACACUGCAGCUCAGAGCAACCCUGGAUUCUUCACCCAUGGAGCGAGGCCAGGGAUUGAACCCACAUCCUCAUGGAUAAUAGUUGGAUUCAUUUCUGCUGAGCCACUAUGGGAACUCCCAGGAUUAGGCUCCCCCGCCCCCCCCACCAAAUACAGGGAAAGGAAACUCAAAGAGUUUAAGUGAUUUGCCCCAAAUCCCAAAGCCUAGAAGAGGCAGGGCCACUGAAGAGCUGAUCAAGGUCUCCAAAAUCAGCUGGUCCUCACCAUGCGGCAAUAAGAGCCAAAGGAGAGUGUGUCCAGAAUGGCCAGGCUGGUCAUCAGCCUCACAUGAUGCAAAGAGCCUGCUGGGGUCAAGGACUGAGAAAACACCCUUGGAUGUGAUGACUGGGAGGUCAGCUGUGACCUUGGAGAGAGCUUCUCGCAGCUCUAACUGCUGCCCGGCAUAGCUGUGCAGGUCAAGCAGAAUUGCUUCUAAUGAGCUUUGUAGAAUGCAGAGCUUCACAGUCCGAGGGGGGCUUUUGCUCUUUUUAUUGUUAAAUAUUAGUAGAUAGAACCACUUGAUAUUACUGACAGCCCCCCCCCCCUUUUUUUAUUGGUAAUUUCACACAGUUCAACCAUACAGUAAAAGAAGUGGGCUGGGGUGGGGGUAGGGCCUGGGAGGGUGGGAAAAAGCAAGCUGUGGGAGCAAGGGCAGUCCCAUGGGGCUGGGGAGCCCUGCCCCCUGGUGGUGGGGAGGUCCUCUUCACCUGGGGAAGCUUGAAGUUGCAGGGGUUCCCUUAUCUCCUCCACUUCCCUCCAGCCUUGUAGUCUAGCCAGCACCCUCUCCUGUAAGUGCAGCUGGGCUUGGGGGUGAAUGCCCCCGAGGGGGAUCUGUCUGGAAGAAUAUCUCUAAUCUCUAAACUAGGGCCAUGCCCUCAACCAACAUCUUUGGGGAUCUGUUGGGGUCUCCCCCUGGGGAGCAUUUUAGGAGCCCAGGCCACAUGGAACUGAUUAGUCAGGACGGGCUGACACAUGAGGACCAGGUCUUGAACAGACCCCUUGGUCAUCACCAGCCCAGCCCCUCUGAAAUCUCUCCCAGUGUCCUUGGGAACCUACUUGAUAUCUCAGGUCUUACGGAUAACAAUAGAAUAACAAUGACAACAGAAGUUAUUUGUAUGAAUGCCAUUGCUUCCAGCUAUAGCUUAGUACCUGGACUGAUUUUUUCUGGCUCUUCGGCUGAGGCGAGGAGGGAUGGGUUAACAUCUCCAAGGAGAUGUUCUUCUGAGAUGAGGACCCAGAAGGGGCCAGGCCACGAGGCUCUGGGGAUUGCUGGAGCUGGGACUGAGGAGGCAGUGGUGCAUCAUUUGUCCUCAGCUGAACUCUGCACAGUGCCAAGCUCCUCACACAGGACCAGGAUGUGCAGCCUUGCGGCCCCACACAAUGGGUAGACCCAGACACUGUGGCCGGGUGGUGACUCAGAGAGGGAGUGUGCGGGGGGUGCGGUGGAGGGUGGGGAGGCAGGUGCAUCAAAGAGGUGGUCCCCCAUAUGCUGUGUGUGCCAGGAAGUCAUCCUCCCUCUCCACCCUGGGGUGGGGGGUGGUCCCCGAGGUACCUUGCUCUGGGCACUUCUCUGCAGGAACACUGUUGCCUUAUGCAGGGGACAGCAGGUGCUGCCUGGGGAUUGGGGCGGAGGAAGGGGCAGUGGUUCUGAUCAGCCCACACUGACAGGCAGGGGUGGUGUCUGGACAGAGGAGAACAUCUGACCUGGCCCCAUCUUUAUAUUCCUCCCUCUCUUGACCGGAAAACACACAUGGGGUCAGAAGGGCCAGACGGAGGCCACAGGCUCCCAGGAAAUGCUUUGAAGGCUUUUAUCCUUUCUUUUGAUCAGACGAUGAGAACUUUCCAAACGUUGACACAAGGGAAGAAAAGCCUAUUCUUCCUUGGGCCAGGGCCAUGUGUCAGGCUGAGGCUAGAGGAUGGGAGGGAAAGGGAAGGAGGCUGGAGGGUGGGGGACUGAGGCAACAGUGACUCAGCUGGCAAGGCCGGCCGUGGAUACACACACGGCUCUUUUUUUCCCCCACCUCAAGAUUUGUGUGCAUCUGGCUCCAUUUCUAUUUAUUUUCUUUGGGGCAGGACAGGAGGGAGAUUAAUGAACAAAGACAUGAAGUUUAAAAAGAACCCCAAACCCAACUCCAUUCUUCUCCCAACCUUAGCGUUACAUAAUCCCGCAGUGCUUUUCUUCCAGGCCUUCCUUGACGCCCGUCUCCCCCCACCCUCUCAUUAAGAACACUUGGAAGCCCAGAAAUGCUUCUUUUCAGGCCCCAGUGCAGCUGAUCUUUUAGAGGCCUCCAAGGUCGCUAUUCAAGUUGGAGUUGGUAUCCAAAACAGAGAUAAUAUGCUGGUGAGAGGAGGCUGAGGAGCUGCUUUUGCUCUCCAUCGAGGCCAGUGGGAGGGAUGGGACCCAUCUGAAUUGGGAGGGACUCAGGCUGGAUGUUGAGUUUUAUUUUUAUUUUUUGCCUUUUUAGGGCCACACCUGUAGCAUAUGGAGGUUCCCAGGUGAGGGGUAGAAUUGGAGCUCCAGCUGCCAGCCUGCACCACAGCCACAGCAAUGCAGGAUCCGAGCUGUGUCUGUGACCUACACCACAGCUCACAGCAACACGGGAUUCUUAACCCACUGAGCAAGGCCAGGGAUGGAACCCACAGUCCUCAUGGAUACUAGUUGGGUUCAUUAGCCACUGAGCCACGAUGGGAACUCCUGGACGUGCAGUUUUAAAGUAGGACAUGACCUUGAUACUCCUUGAACUCAGUGCGUCCCAAACUGGCACAGCAACACAUCCUGAAAAGCAGAGGGAAUUUUACUGCAGGGGAUACAGGGAUGAGCCAUAAGCUCCUGCACACUGGGUAUCCCUGAAAUCUGUUUUGUCUUUUAACGUAAGUAACUUUUUCAUUCUACUCCAUCACACAUCAUUUGCUUAAUAUUAAAAUAAAUUUUUUACCUCAGAGUCUUUGAGUAAAAUUGCUAUCUCAAGAAAAUACAUCGAAAAAAAAAAA